AGUUCAGUACUCCUUUUAAAAGGUACCUCUAAGUGAAGGGUAAUUGCUUUACAGUACUGUGUUGGUUUACGCCAUACAUCAACAUUCAUCAGCCAUAAGUGUACACACGUCCCCUCCUUCUUGAACCUCCCAUCCCACAUUUCUCAUUUUUAUGUCCAUUUUUGUCGUGUGGCCAAAGCUAAUAGGUCAGAUGAUUCAUUUCAGAUAGAGAACUUGGUCUUCUUGCCAUGUAUUGGAAAAAAAAAAAGUGUGAAAUUUUUUUUAAGAUUAGGGUUGGGAGGAUAACUGACUUUGGCAUACUGAGACUGUAUUCGGGUUCUCAGACUCCUGCUUGGGAUGUCUGCACGUUGGGACGCUCUUGGUGUUGGGGAGGAGCAGAGUAGAUGAUCGCAUUUUCUUAACCACAGAUCUCCUCCCCUAGACUUGUUUCCUCGGGUAAAAACAUACCUCAGGUGAUUUCUAGUACAAAGAACAAGAAAGCCCUAGGAAGACAGCCUGUUCCAUUCUUCAUCACCCCUCGUGACAUCGGCACGUGGCCUGUGUGUCCCCCGAGAACCGUCAUGUGGGUAUCACCUGGGCUGUCACCCUCUACUAGUCAUGUCUGCCUGCCCCUGUGCGUAAAGCACCCAUCAUACUUUGUAGAAGAUUCGCUCAGACGGACUUUUAGAAUAACUAUAUCUAAUUUUAGAAGAAAAUUCUGUGAAUGAUGAAUUGACUUGGGAAUUCUGGGGAUGAAGAUUUAACUUCUUUGAUGUUGAGUCAUCUUAUCUGAGAGCCUGUAUGCAAUAAGGGCUUCCCUGGUGGCUCAGAUGGUAAAGAAUCUACCUGCAAUGUAAGAGACCCAGGUUUGAUCCCUGGGUUGGGAAGAUCCCCUGGAGAAGGAAAUGGAAGCCCACUCUAGUAUUCUUGCCUGGACAAUUCUAUACACACCGGAACCUGGCUGGCUACCGUCCAUGGGGUCACAAAGAAUUGGACAUGACUGAGCAACAAACACACAGUAUGCAAUAAAAUCAUCUGCAAACAGGGAUGUUUUCUAUUUUCCUUCUAGUGAUUAUCUUUUUGUUGUUCUCUCAUCUCAUGAGAUGCUGAAACUGAAGCUCCAAUACUUGGACCACCUGAUGCCAAAGCCAACUCAUUGGAAAAGACCCUGAUGCUGGGAAAGAUUGAAGGUGGAAGGAGAAGGGGAUGACAGAGGACGAGAUGGUUGGAUGGCACCACCGACUCAAUGGACAUGAGUUUGAGGAAGCUCUGGGAGGUGGUGAAGGACAGGGAAGCCUGGCGUGCUGCAGUCCAAGGGGUCGCAAAGAGUCAGACACGACUGAGCGACUGAACAACAACCACAUCAAAUGAUGUUGACCAAUCAUUCCAGUGCAGUUACUAUCUUACUCCUGACUUCAGUGAGAAUGCCUCCAGUGUUGCCUCCUUAAGUAAACAUUCUUUCUCUUUUUGCCUUAAACUUGACUUCCUUUAUAAUUAGUGCAAUUGUACCAGUCAUCUCUGGAUUAGUGUUUGCAUCAUAUAUCUUCUACUCUCCUUUUAAUUUCAGCCCUUCUGUAUCUUUUUGUUUUCUAUGUACCUUUUGUCAACAGCGUAUAGUCAGCCUGGACAUAUUUUUAUCUAGUUUGAAAAUCUUUUUGUUUUUAAUUGGAGCUUCAAUCCACUUUGAUUUAAUGUAAGUGCUGACAUAUUCGGAAUUAUAUAUUAUUUGGAAUUGCAUUACAUUAUCUAUUCUUUCUUCUCCCAGUGAUUUCUAUCUACAUGUGAUUUUCUUCUUCAUUUGGAUUGAUUGCAUAUUUUAAAAUUAUUAUUCUAUUUUCUCCAUCA